rnacentral:rRNA from 1 species
CGUAAUUCCAGCUCCAAUAGCGUAUAUUAAAGUUGUUGCAGUUAAAAAGCUUGUAGUUGAACCUUGGGCCUGGCUGGCCGGUCCGCCUCACCGCGAGUACUGGUCCGGCUGGGCCUUUCCUUCUGGGGAACCUCAUGGCCUUCACUGGCUGUGGGGGGAACCAGGACUUUUACUGUGAAAAAAUUAGAGUGUUCAAAGCAGGCCUUUGCUCGAAUACAUUAGCAUGGAAUAAUAGAAUAGGACGUGCGGUUCUAUUUUGUUGGUUUCUAGGACCGCCGUAAUGAUUAAUAGGGAUAGUCGGGGGCGUCAGUAUUCAGCUGUCAGAGGUGAAAUUCUUGGAUUUGCUGAAGACUAACUACUGCGAAAGCAUUCGCCAAGGAUGUUUUCAUUAAUCAGGGAACGAAAGUUAGGGGAUCGAAGACGAUCAGAUACCGUCGUAGUCUUAACCAUAAACUAUGCCGACUAGGGAUCGGACGGGAUUCUAUGAUGACCCGUUCGGCACCUUACGAGAAAUCAAAGUUUUUGGGUUCUGGGGGGAGUAUGGUCGCAAGGCUGAAACUUAAAGAAAUUGACGGAAGGGCACCACAAGGCGUGGAGCCUGCGGCU